UACGUAGGGUGCGAGCGUUGUCCGGAAUUACUGGGCGUAAAGAGCUCGCAGGUGGUUUGUCACGUCGUCUGUGAAAUUCCGGGGCUUAACCUCGGGCGUGCAGGCGAUACGGGCAAUACUUGAGUGCUGUAGGGGAGACUGGAAUUCCUGGUGUAGCGGUGAAAUGCGCAGAUAUCAGGAGGAACACCAAUGGCGAAGGCAGGUCUCUGGGCAGUUACUGACGCUGAGGAGCGAAAGCAUGGGUAGCGAACAGGAUUAGA
rnacentral:rRNA from 1 species